AUUGAACGCUGGCGGCAUGCCUUACACAUGCAAGUCGAACGGUAACAGGUCUUCGGAUGCUGACGAGUGGCGAACGGGUGAGUAAUACAUCGGAACGUGCCUAGUAGUGGGGGAUAACUACUCGAAAGAGUGGCUAAUACCGCAUGAGAUCUAAGGAUGAAAGCAGGGGAUCGCAAGACCUCGUGCUACUAGAGCGGCCGAUGGCAGAUUAGGUAGUUGGUGGGAUAAAAGCUUACCAAGCCGACGAUCUGUAGCUGGUCUGAGAGGACGAUCAGCCACACUGGGACUGAGACACGGCCCAGACUCCUACGGGAGGCAGCAGUGGGGAAUUUUGGACAAUGGGCGCAAGCCUGAUCCAGCAAUGCCGCGUGCAGGAUGAAGGCCUUCGGGUUGUAAACUGCUUUUGUACGGAACGAAAAGCCCCGGGUUAAUACCCUGGGGUCAUGACGGUACCGUAAGAAUAAGCACCGGCUAACUACGUGCCAGCAGCCGCCGUAA
rnacentral:rRNA from 1 species